rnacentral:lncRNA from 1 species
GAAACAAAACAUGAGGAGCAAACUCUGGUGUGUUGCUGUGGAAAUCCAGUUACUUUAGGUAUAAAAUGUUUUUGUUUUCUAGAAGAAUCUUUAACCCGCCCUGUUUAAGAGCUCAGACAAGCAAAUGAUUUACUUAAAGAUUCAAGAAUAAGUUUGGGGAACAGAACUGAUACUUCAAUGUGCCUGAGGUUCCCAUACAGUUGAGCAGGUGAAUGAAGACAACAAGCCCAGCUGCUCCAAACAGCAAGAUGAAGGAGAACAUACAUGUCAGCCUCAUAAUUAUUGUUCUCAGAUCAAUCCAAUUUGGACCCAGGAAAAGAACUGCACGCAAUCUCCAGAG